UAUUUAUUUAUUUAUUUAUUUUGAAUAAAGAAUUUGGAAAGAGGGAGAGAGAUGAAGGAAUGGAUUGGUAGGUUCACUGUUGGUCAAUUUGUGUGAGAUUGCUAAAAUUGUUUUCAAUGUGAAAGUUUUGAGGGUAAAAUUGACAAGAAUAAAUGGAUUGUGUAAAAUUGAAAUGUGCCAAAGGGUAGGGUUUUCUUUUUACCAUUUAGCUUAACUGAUUAUGAUUUUGCACCACCACAAAAAAAAAAAAAAAAAA
rnacentral:misc_RNA from 1 species